rnacentral:rRNA from 1 species
UACGUAGGGCGCAAGCGUUGUCCGGAAUUAUUGGGCGUAAAGAGCUUGUAGGCGGUUUGUCGCGUCUGCUGUGAAAUUUCGGGGCUCAACCCCGAACUUGCAGUGGGUACGGGCAGACUAGAGUGUGGUAGGGGAGAGUGGAAUUCCCGGUGUAGCGGUGAAAUGCGCAGAUAUCGGGAAGAACACCCGUGGCGAAGGCGGCUCUCUGGGACGGUACUGACGCUGAGACGCGAAAGCGUGGGGAGGCGAACAGG